GACGAACGCUGGCGGCGUGCUUAACACAUGCAAGUCGAGCGAGAGCCAGUCGAGGGGUAACCCUCGGCUGGGGACAGCGGCGAACGGGUGCGUAACACGUGGGCAACCUGCCCCUGACACUGGGAUAACCCCGGGAAACCGGAGCUAAUACCGGAUACUCUCGGCCGAUCACAUGGCUGGCCGAGGAAAGGUCCGCCGGUCAGGGAUGGGCCCGCGGCCUAUCAGCUUGUUGGUGAGGUAACCGGCCCACCAAGGCGACGACGGGUGGCUGGUCUGAGAGGACGACCAGCCACACUGGAACUGAGACACGGCCCAGACUCCUACGGGAGGCAGCAGUGGGGAAUCUUGCGCAAUGGGCGAAAGCCUGACGCAGCGACGCCGCGUGAGGGAUGACGGCCU
rnacentral:rRNA from 1 species